rnacentral:rRNA from 1 species
AUUGAACGCUGGCGGCAUGCCUUACACAUGCAAGUCGAACGGUAACAGGUUAAGCUGACGAGUGGCGAACGGGUGAGUAAUGUAUCGGAACGUGCCCAGUCGUGGGGGAUAACUACUCGAAAGAGUGGCUAAUACCGCGUACGACCUGAGGGUGAAAGCGGGGGACCGUAAGGCCUCGCGCGAUUGGAGCGGCCGAUAUCAGAUUAGCUAGUUGGUGGGGUAAAAGCCCACCAAGGCGACGAUCUGUAGCUGGUCUGAGAGGACGACCAGCCACACUGGGACUGAGACAUGGCCCAGACUCCUACGGGAGGCAGCAGUGGGGAAUUUUGGACAAUGGACGCAAGUCUGAUCCAGCCAUGCCGCGUGCGGGAAGAAGGCCUUCGGGUUGUAAACCGCUUUUGUCAGGGAAGAAACGAGUUUCUCUAAUACAGAGACUUAAUGACGGUACCUGAGGAAUAAGCACCGGCUAACUACGUGCCAGCAGCCGCCGCGGUAA